UCGGCCGAGAAAGAAGAGAAAAAGAGGAAAAGAAAAAGGGAAAAAAGGAAAAGAAAAAGGAAGAAGAAGGGGAAAAAGAAAAGGAAAGGAGGUAAGGUUGAUAUCUUCAAGUUGGGUUUAAUUUUUCCAUUUGUCUUAGAUGAUUAAGUAUGGUUUAUAUUAAAAUUUUUAGGGUUUUAUCAUGUAAUAAUAAAAUGUUAAAUUUAUGUGAUAUAUGUACGAUUUGGAGCUCAAGCUUAGGGAUUAAUUAUGUUUCAAUUUUAACAAGGUGUUUAGGCAAUGAAAAUUUUGGAAACCCUAGAAUCCGAUUUUGGGGAUUUUAAUUAAUUAAUUGUGGAAGUGAUUAUAUAAAUGGAAUAUUUCAUUUGGGAGUAGAUUUUAAGGAGCAAAUGUAUAUUAGAUGGGUGGAAAUUAUGGUCACUAGUUUCAUUAAAUUGGAAAGUAAAAUUAAUUUUAACUUGGAAAGAAGGUUUUGUUGAUAAAUUAGUUAUUAGAAAAGGGAUUAGAAAGUGGGAUUAGCUCCAUUGAUCAAAAGAAUAUUUGGGAAUUCAUUCGAGCAUCGACCAAUUUUGGUUAAGUAUUAUAGAAGUAGAUUUUAAAGUUUCUUAAUUUAAUAGUAGUUGAUUAGCCAUCUUGUUAUGUAUUCCAGGUGGUGACGAGGAAGUUGGAAGAGCAUAUCGACCAGUUUAGGUUCAGCUUGUGUUAUGUGAGUGGAUAAGCUUAUUUUUUUAGAAAUAAGUAUUUAUUUAAUUUUGAAGUUACGUAUUUUAUAAGUUGAGUUGAUAGCAUGAUUUUUCAAAAUAAAACGAAUUUUAUUAUCAAAUGUUUUUAAAAGUUAAAUUCAGUUCAGUUAGAUCAUUUCAUUGACAUAUUAUUUCAGUAUUAAUUAUUUCAGUAUAUUCAAAGUUAUUUUAAAACCACCAGAAAGUACCCAAGUGAUUUUACCCUCGUCUGCACUGGUGUGAAUGUGUUUCCACAGUGUAUGACUUCAUAUGGUUAUUUUACCCACUCUGCGCUAGUGUGAAUGUGUUUCCACAGCGUAUGAUCAGUAUAGUGAUUUUACCCGCUCUGCACUAUUGUGAAUGUGUUUCCAUAGUGUAUGACCAUUUUAUAGCUCUGCGCGCGUAUGACCAGAAUUUCAGAAUUUCAGAAUUACAGAAUUUCAGAAUUUAAUGACCUUGCUAUGUAUAUCGAGAUUAAUCCAUACACGAGUAUGGUUAUUCAGGGUACAUUUUUGGUGUGAUGUUUCAGUAUUACAUAGCUUAUCAGAUUUUAGAGAUAGAUUUUACAGUAUUUAGUUGAUUCAGUUGAAAGAAUCAAGAUUUUAAUUUUAACGUAUUGUGAAAGGAAAUUUUUACUAUAUACUAGUAUUUAGAAAGGUGUUAUAAAUGUUAAAGUAUGACUUUUACAAAUAUCCACUCACUGAGUCGCUAGCUCAUAUUUUUGUCACCUCAUUUCUUAUCAGAUAGAAGCUGCGUUGAGCCAUAUCAGAGCCUGUCGUUCGACGAGUUGAGCUUCAUCGUGUCCUUGUUUGUAUGUCUCAUUUUGUUAAUUCAUACAACAUAUAUUUUGGGGGUUAAUGUAUUUUGUAUCAAAAAUGUAUUAAGUCUCAUACCCAUUGCAUAUUUUGUGUAUGUUUUGAAAUGGUAAAUUUAUAUUUCAGUACAACUCCUUGAAGAAUUAGUAUUUUGAUGGGC
rnacentral:lncRNA from 1 species